UACGUAGGUGGCGAGCGUUGUCCGGAUUUACUGGGCGUAAAGAGCGCGCAGGCGGUCGUUCAAGUCGGAUGUGAAAGCCCCCGGCUCAACUGGGGAGGGUCAUUCGAUACUGAUCGACUCGAAGGCAGGAGAGGGAAGCGGAAUUCCCGGUGUAGUGGUGAAAUGCGCAGAUAUCAGGAGGAACACCGAUGGCGAAGGCAGGUCUCUGGGCAUUAACUGACGCUGAGGAGCGAAAGCAUGGGGAGCGAACAGG
rnacentral:rRNA from 1 species